rfam:Pteropus alecto contig63835, whole genome shotgun sequence.
GCCUACGGCCAUGCUACCCUGAACAAAUCCGAUCCCGUCUGAUCUCGUGAAGCUAAGCAGGGUCAGGCCUGGUUAGUACUUGGAUGGGAGACCACCUAGGAAGACCAGGUGCUGUAGGCA